AUGGCUUAUUAGCUAGCCACGUCAGACAUAUACAUAUACUUCCCAUGUUGGAUUUGUUGGUUCCUUUCUUUAAUCAAUUUUUUAAAGAAAAAAAUGCCCUCGUACGUAGUUUUCUUCUAGUAUUCUCUCAGCGUUUUCCUCCUUUCACUUUUUACACUCUUCUAAUACCACUAUAUUUUUCCCUCUCAGUUUCUCAGUAACCAAACAGAGCAUAAAAUACUAGGAAAACUUAAUAAAAUGUGUUGUUUUUUUUUUCCCUUUCAAUUUUUUGUUAUGUUAAUAUUAUUGAAUUUUCAAUCUUUUGAGUUAUCUCCAUCUUUAAAUCCACCAGAUGAUUGACACUUCCGAGGAAUCCAAGCAAAUUGAGAAGCUCUACGAAUUUAGUGAACGCCUCAACGAGGCUAAGGUUAAGUCUCAAAAAGAAGUGGAGAAGAACAACUUAGGCUCCAAUGCCUUGAAGAACAACAAGCCAUAUAGAAGCGUUGCUUUGAAGACCUCUGCCGUUCUAACGACACUACCAACAAUAAAUUUGAUUCUCAUUAUGCUAAGCCCUCCUCCGAAAUCCUUUUCCAAAAAUCAAAAUCUUUUCCUGCAUUUGUGUUACUAACUUGGUGCAUCCCAAUACAAGAAUUUGCUAUAGCAAGCAAUCCAAGAACCGUCGUUAUCCGCAUCACACCAAACUCCCUCACAAGGCACAACUUUUGUUUGGCCGAGGGUUUAGGGUUGGAACGGAUCGCAGGAAACAGAAAAAGCUGGCCGUCAAAAAUGAGAAGGAGAUGAGAGAAGAGAUUAGGUAAAAAAGAAGAGGUCGAAGAGAAGUCAGAGGAAGCCACGGCCCAAAGGGCUAAACUCUCCAAUCUCCAUUAUUUGGAUGCCGAGAAAAUGAAAGAGAAAAUGAAAGAGAAAACUCAAAUCAACAAUCGGCUAGUUAACGUGGUUAGUUAAUGGGCCAUCUCAACUUUUCAUUACAUUGUAACUGAAAAUGUCCGUUAGUCACCGAUUUGUUACUUUCAUAAAGUUUAGUGAUUGAAUUGGAAGUUGAGUGAUUAUUUUAUUAUUGGAAUAAAAGUUAGGUGAUUAUUGAUGUAAUUUACCUUAAAUAAUAUAAUAAUACAAUUAGAAGUAAAUUGUAAAAAAAUAAAA